rnacentral:misc_RNA from 1 species
GAUGAAGAACGCAGCGAAAUGCGAUAAGUAAUGUGAAUUGCAGAAUUCAGUGAAUCAUCGAAUCUUUGAACGCACAUUGCGCCCCCUGGUAUUCCGGGGGGCAUGCCUGUCCGAGCGUCAUUACAACCCUCAAGCUCAGCUUGGUGUUGGGCCCCGCCGCCCCGGCGGGCCCUAAAGUCAGUGGCGGUGCCGUCCGGCUCCGAGCGUAGUAAUUCUUCUCGCUCUGGAGGUCCGGUCGUGUGCUCGCCAGCAACCCCCAAUUUUUUUCAGGUUGACCUCGGAUCAGGUAGGGAUACCCGCUGAACUAAAGCAUAUCAAUAAGCGGAGGA